GUCUAGCUGACGAGUCCCAAAUAAGACGAAAUGUGGGUCCUAGAU
rnacentral:hammerhead_ribozyme from 1 species